UCAACGCUGGCGGCGUGCCUCAGACAUGCAAGUCGAACGAUUAAACUUUCCUUCGGGAAAGAUAUAAAGUGGCGCAUGGGUGAGUAACACGUAAGUAAUCUACCUUCGGAUGGGAAGUAACAGUCGGAAACGACUGCUAAUACCGCAUAAUGCAGCGGCACCUAAUGGUGACAGUUGUUAAAGUAUUUAUACGUCUGGAGAGGAGCUUGCGGCAGAUUAGCUAGUUGGAAGGUUAAUGGCUUACCAAGGCUACGAUCUGUAGCCGACCUGAGAGGGUGGUCGGUCACACUGACACUGAAUAACGGGUC
rnacentral:rRNA from 1 species